AGAACCAUGGCCACAAAUGUGAAAUCUGCCUUCUCCAAAAUGAGUUCAAAUGGAUUCCCAGUAUUUGCUCAAGUUCUACGGUACACAAUCAGCAAGCAGCAAAGUGACUUUCAACAUGUUGGUGGCAGAGCAAACCCAAGCGCUGCUUGCUGGCCUUUUCUAUGAGCCCUGCUGAUUCCUGUUGCAGUGGCUGCCAAUUACUGCAGACGUAUCAGCAAGAGCAUGAUCCCUGGGAGUCCUUGCUUGCUAUUCUUCCCUUCACUGUAGCUGCUAUUGGUCAGCAUGUUUGUUACCUACAGGGGUCAGCGUCCGCAUCAGCACUCACCUUCACUUCUUCCUCAUACUGGAAUCUUCGUUUGCUCACAAUGAUGUCUUCAAUACCCCGCCUAUCACCGAACUUCUUCUCAAAGAUGGUAUAGUUUUUAAAGAGUUCUUGGGCCUCCUGCUUUGAAAUUCUAUCCAGGGCAUACUUGUAGAUCACUCGUACCCUUUCAAACUAAAAGCAGAUAGGAGGAUUACUUCUCAACACAAUAUUCUCACCCUAGCAACAACUUGGAAGGCUUAUGUUAAUGACUGUCCGUAUGUCCAGACUCUGACUAUACCUCCAUGGAAGCGGCAAUAACCAGGACAAUACUCCCAACGCAUUCAAAGGAUAUAUCGUUCAUAAAUGGUGCGGGCCCGAUCCACCUCUUUGUAUCGCAGCUCAAAGUUUAUGUAGGAAUGCCAGGCUUGCUCCUCAGGCUGCCAUUCCAUCCAGCGCUCAAACACCUGCCGGGCGCCAGCAAUGUUUCCCAACAUCUCCUCCAUGUAUGUGUACUUGUACCUUUAAUAAAAUCAUCCCAAAAUA